GCAGGGGAUGGGCAUUAGUGGUAAACAUGGCAGGAAAUAAGGGGGUGAGAGCAGACUGCCGUGGAACUGCGAGCCAACCACGAUUGUGGGGUGUCCUCUGCCAUCAAUCAAGCUGUUGCUAUUCUCAUCUACCUCUCUUCCUAAAAUCUCAGGCGCUCCCAGCAACUCCAGCCAGAUCCGAACAUGCCAGCAGUCACCAGCCAUACUGAGGUCUUGCAUGUGGAAAGUUUCCAGACACUGCUACCUGGCUGUCUGCGGGGUCUGCACUUCAAAGCUCCCCUUGGGAUGGGUUUGGUCAGCAGCUGCAGGGAGUCUGACAGGCUCAUCAUUACCCAGACGAAAUAAGAAGAGCUUAGGAAAACACUGUUAUUUGGGUGAGAGGCAAAAGCAAUAACAAAAAAGCUCAGCCUGGCAAGAUUUUCCAGCCUCUUGACGUAUGGUACAGCAGGAUCCUCUCAAAUGGACAUGCAUGUAUUUUUUUUUUUUCACAAGCAAACAGCAAGACACCUGAAAGUAUACUUGGAUUUGAUACAUAUGUCUAAGUUAACCUAGUGAGUUUAAAAUAACAUUUAACACACAGCUAGAACAUUCACAUUUUAAAUAUUACUCUUCAUGGAAAAAAAAAAAAAAAGAAAUGAAGCAAGUUUCCUAUGGUACCUAUCACCAGGGCAAGAUUCUUUCAGAAACAUCAAGUUCUGACCAUUGAGAGACCAUUUCCCUACUGACCCUUAGCACUAAAAAUAUAAUAGUGGUGGUGGUGAUGAUGAUGAUGAUGACGAUGACAACAGAACAGGGAACAUUUAUCUCAUGCCAUAAGCAGCUGUAUUCAGGCAGAUUCAGGAAGCCUCCUGCAUGCAAGUCAGCCUGAAGAACAGGAGUUACUUGCUCUCAUGCCGGGUUGUAAAAACUAGUUCUUCUUGGAGUACUUGUAAUUAGAAGGAUGAAAUUAGCUUCAGGAAAUUGAAACUAUGCAUGGAAAGGAGGAGGUGUUCAGGUAAUUUUACUCUGACAUUUGAUAAUGCACAAUUUCAGAAAUCAUUUAAUUUCAAAAUUUCCUGAAUUUCACCAAAAUGAAGUGAGGAAGUUAACAUGGGAAACCAAGGGAUUUUGCAAUCAGUGGUGUUUCUACCUGUGGGAGGGUAACUAAUGAUUAGCUCAGGAAAUAGCCAUAGGUUAAUCUGCUAGUGUCCUGAGAGGGCUUGUAUUGCUGGGGGAGUCUGAUUCACAUUGUAUGACCUAUUUGUAUUUAUGCUGUCAGGGAUGCUGCAAAAGUUAAGAAGUCAGACUAUGAAACUUCUAGUAUGUCAUAUACAGAGUGAAAGCAAAGAGAAGGCUAUAUGAUCCCUGUUCUGGGAACUUUGCAGGCCACAGUGGUGAAGUAGGAACCCCUACAGCCUACCCCCUUCUGCCAAUUACCCUGGAGCCACAUUCCACUGGCUUCUGAACAUCAAGACCCCUCUCACCUCCAAGAACAGAAGACAGCGCAGAGAUCUUUGGGGGCAAACAACAAUCAAGAGGCCACAAGCAUAACUGACCUUUGGGAAAAGAGUUAUUUCUCUCAAUUCUGAGCCUGGAGACCGUUGAGCCCAUGAAAAGCCACAAGGAUUUAGGCCACAUACCCCUUAGGUUUCUACCUGAAAUUAUUGACAAUUAUCUUUAUGUUUUUUUAAGAUUUUAUUUAUUUAUUCAUGAGACACACACAGAAAGAGAGAGGCAGAGACACAGGCAGAGGGAGAAGCAGGCUCCAUGCAGGGAGCCCGAUGUGGGACUUGAUCCUGGGACUCCAGGAUCACGCCCCAGGCCAAAGGCAGGCGCUAAACCGCUGAGCCACCCAGGGAUCCCCAACAAUUACCUUUAAACAACAAUGUAUACUAAAAGGGUAACAUUUAUAAAUCCCUGCUAAAUGUGGCUAGCUAGCUAUGAGCUUUCAAGGCAAUAAAACAUACAUGAUUUUCU